AGCGAACAGCAUCGUGAAAACACGUCCUCUCUCCUCAAAAGCGAAAGUAGAGAGAAAGAACAAAGGCUUGAGGCUCUCGGAAAUGACGCAGAAGUUCCCCCCUCCCAACAGUAGGCAGAGCGUACACUCUGAGCUGUUUAACCCUGUAAGCUCAGGUUCUCCUCACAGAGCACCCUUUGGGUUCGGUCAGUCAGCCAGUUACAAAUCCACUGAGUGGUAGCAUAGUCAAGACCGCAUUUUACCAGCUUCUUUACAAGAAUAUCAUGGGGCUCCUUGUCAAAUGCCUUGCUGAAAUCAAGGUAGGCUACAUCCACUGCGUUCCCUUCAUCUAGCAGGCUUGUAAUUCUGUCAAAAAACGAGAUCAGGUUAGUCUGACAUGACUUAUUUUUCAGAAAUCCAUGCUGACUAUUGGUGAUCACAGCAUUCCUUUCUAGGUGCUCACAGACUGUUUGCUUAAUGAUCUGCUCCAGAAUCUUCCCUGGUAUUGAUGUCAGACUGAGUGGGCGGUAAUUAUUUGGGUCCUCUCUUUUCCCCUUUUUGAAAAUAGGGACAACAUUUGCCCUCCUCUAGUCUGCCGGGACUUCGCCUGUUCUCCAGGAAUUCUCAAAGAUGACUGACAGUGGUUCUGAGAUCACAUCUGCCAGUUCUUUUAAUACUCUUGGAUGCAGUUCAUCUGACCCUGGAGACUUGAAUUCAUCUAAACUAGCCAAGUAUUCUUGUACUAUCUCCUUAGUUCUUCUGGGCUGUGUUUCCUCUGCUGAAUCAUUUGCUCCAAAUUCUUUAGGUCGGGCAUUGUUUUCUUUAUCGGAGAAGACUGAGGCAAAGAAGGCAUUGAGGAGUUCAGCCCUUUCUGUGUCCCCUGUUUGCAUUUCACCAUCUUCUCCUCUGAGUGACCCCACUGUUCCUUUGUUCUUCCUUUUGCUACUGAACAUACCCAUAAAAGCCUUUUUGUUGCUUUUAACCUCUCUAGCAAGCCUGAGUUCAUGCUGUGCGUGAGCUUUUCUGACUUUGUGUCUACACGUGCUGGCUAUUUGUUUGAAUUCCUCUUUGGUGGUUUUCCCCCUUUUCCAUUUUUUGUACACAUCCUUUUUUAAUCUUAACUCAGUUAAAAGUUCUUUAGAUAGCCACCCUGGCUUCUUUAGGCACCUUCCAUGUUUCCGUCUCAUUGGUAUUGCCUGAAGUUGUGCGUUUACUAUCUCCCUCUUAACAAACUGCCAGCCAUCAUGAACUCCCUUUCCUUUUAGUAUUACUGUCCAUGGGAUCUCACCCAGCACUUCCCUAAGUUUUAUGAAGUCGGCUUUCUUAAAGUCAAGAAAUUGAGUCCUAGUAUGCUUGCCUGCUCCUUUCCGCUGUAUAGUAAACUUCAGAAGAGCAUGAUCACUCGCGCCUAAUGAUCCUUCCACUUCUACCCCACUAACCAGGUCAUCAACAUUGGUUAGGACCAGAUCUAAAAUGGCUGUUCCUCUUGUUGCUUCUCCCACUUUCUGGAGAAUGAAGUUGUCUGCAAGGCCAGUGAGGAAUCUGUUUGACCUUAUGCUCUUGGCUGAGUUUGACAUCCAACAAAUAUCUGGGUAAUUGAAGUCCCCCAUUACUACUAUCUCCCUUCCUUUUGCAUGCUUGGCCAUCUGUUCCAGGAAGGCAUCAUCUACGUCCUCCGUUUGACUUGGGGAUCUAUAGUAAACUCCCACAAUGAGGUCACUGUUAUUCUUCUCUCCCUUAAUUUUGACCCAAAUGCUCUCACUUUGGCUUUGAGGUUCUAAAUCUUGGAUCUCUUCACAGGUAUACACAUCCUUGACAUAUAACGCCACUCCUCCUCCUUUCUUGUCUGGUCUGUUUCUCUGAAAUAGAUUGUAUCCCUCCAUUAUUACAUUCCAAUCGUGGGACUUAUCUCACCAGGUUUCAGUGAUGCCCAUUAUGUCAUAUUUAGUUUGCUGUACCAAGAGCUCAAGCUCAUCUUGUUUAUUUCCCAUGCUUUGCGCAUUAGUGUACAGACAUUGAAGUCCAUUAAUCAUUCCCCGUGUCUCUUAUUUAAGGAUUUUUCCUCCCACCACUAGGUCUGCGUGCUGUUUGCUCCAUUUGGUCUAUGACAUUUGGAUGAUCAUCUUCAUCAAUUGAUAGACUCCUACCUUCAGGAGCACUGUCUCCCUCCCCACAUUAGUCAGUUUAAAGCCCUCCUGAUGAGGUUUCUGAGAUUUUUGGCAAAAACAUUUCUCCCAACCGUUGUGAGGUGCAGCCCAUCGCUUGCCAGAAGUCCAUCUUCAAGAAACUGCAGUCCGUGAUCUAAGAAUCCAAACCGUUCCUGUUUACACCAUUUGCGAAGCCAGCUGUUCACUUCCACUAUUUUUCCCUCUCUCCCUGGGCCACGUCGUUCAACUGGGAGGACAGAUGAGAUGACAAUUUGUGCAUUUAAUUGCUUCCAUUUCCUGCCCAGAGCCUCGUAGUCUCUUUUGAUCUUCUGGAGGCUAUUGCUUGCAGUGUCAUUGGUUCCCACAUGAACCAAGAGGAAGGGGUAUUUGUCAGUGGGCUUUAUGAUUCCUUGCAGUCGUUCAGUUACAUCUUGGAUCUUAGCCCGGGGAGACAGCACACUUCCCGAGACAUCUUGUCAGGCCCACAGAUCACUGCUUCUGUUCCCCUCAGUAGGGAAUCCCCUAUCACCACUACACGCCUCCUCUUAGGUUUGGUCGGGGUUCUUCCGUGAGCUGUCCGUUCCAAGGUCGCCUGCACAUUCCCUGAGGACUGACUUUGCUGCUCGUCUUCAUAUACCUGAUCGACUGUAAUGAGGAGAGAUCCUCAAAUGGAGUCUGCUCUUCGUCUUCCAUGCUAGGGGAGAGGACCUCAAAGCGAUUGUGUAUUUCUAAACAAUCAGAGCGAACCCUGGGCCUCCUACUUCUUUGAGUCACGUUUCUCCAUAUAUCUGGCUCCUGUGUUGGUGAACUAGCCUCCUUCUCAGGGAGUCCUCUGUCUCCUCCUUGGUGGAGACGGUGUGCUCUGUUGCUUCCAAGAAGAGCUCCAGCUCUCUAAUUCUUUGGAGCGUAGCUACACGUUCCUCCAGUUGCUGGACUUUGUCUUCUAAGAGGGCAAUCAACAUGCAAUUGCUGCAGGUAAAGCUGCCUGCAAUCUUUGGCAAGAUGGCAAACAUUGCGCAGGAACCGCAGGCGACUGCAGCUGUUCCCUCCCCCUCCAUCUUGAGAACGUGUUGUUGGGGGUGGCUACAGCGAUCCUCCAUCAUAAAAAGCAUGAAGACAGGACAAAUAACUCCCCCCCCAAAAAAACCAAAAAACCCCCCAAAAAAACCUAGGUCUCCCCCAACAAACAUUUGAGACUAGCUCCCCUAAAUCUAAAAGAUGGAUCAAACUGCGUGCGCCGCUAGAACACCCUUUUGCUCCUUCUUCAGCUGCUGCCCUGCAAGCUCUGAUAAGCUCCUCCCACAGCUAAUCACCUGCCUCAACAGAAACCCUGCCCCCUCUGACCUUUGCACAGGGAGAGCAGCUAAUCAGCCACAAAGAAACACACACACAAGAAAACCCUUUUUGCUCCUUCAGCUGCUGCCCUGCAAGCUCUGACUGCUGUGGUGAUAUAACUAAAUAGUUCGACUGAUGAUUUCACAGUACAGUAGCUGAAGGAGUCAUUCCCAACAGCAUAGUUUUGGGGUCCAAUGCAAAUUUAGGGUAUUUUUUUACAUUUUUUCAUUUCGAAAUGAACUUUCCUCCAAAACUUUUGGUCUUUUCACAGGUCCACCAUAAAUGGAAGAAGAUUCCUCAAGGUCUAUCACAUUUCCAGCAAUGUCCAUUCAUUGCAUUAUUCAUCUUCUGUAUAUUUUUCAAAGUUAUAUACCAUUGAAAGAACAUUUUUGUACAGUCUUACCUCAUGUUACAGCCGCUUCAGGUUACGUGUUUUUGGGUUGCGGACCGCGGGAAUCCUGGAAGUACCGGAACGGGUUACUUCCGGGUUUCGCCGCUUUCACAUUCGCAGAAGCGCCAAAUUGCGCUGGUGCCUGUGCAGACGUGGCGCUUCAGGAUGCGAACGCUGUGAGUUGCAGAUGUGCCUCGGUCAUGGGUUAUGUCUGCAACCCGAGGUUCCACUGUACCAAUUUUGUUUUAGGGCUUAACUUGCAGUAAAUUUUAUUCCUUUAUUCAUAAUUGUUC